UCGUAGCUGCGCUAGAGCGUAGUAACCUCGAGCGGAUGAAGGGAGCUUGCUCCUGGAUUCAGCGGCGGACGGGUGAGUAAUGCCUAGGAAUCUGCCUGGUAGUGGGGGAUAACGUCCGGAAACGGGCGCUAAUACCGCAUACGUCCUGAGGGAGAAAGUGGGGGAUCUUCGGACCUCACGCUAUCAGAUGAGCCUAGGUCGGAUUAGCUAGUUGGUGGGGUAAAGGCCUACCAAGGCGACGAUCCGUAACUGGUCUGAGAGGAUGAUCAGUCACACUGGAACUGAGACACGGUCCAGACUCCUACGGGAGGCAGCAGUGGGGAAUAUUGGACAAUGGGCGAAAGCCUGAUCCAGCCAUGCCGCGUGUGUGAAGAAGGUCUUCGGAUUGUAAAGCACUUUAAGUUGGGAGGAAGGGCAGUAAGUUAAUACCUUGCUGUUUUGACGUUACCAACAGAAUAAGCACCGGCUAACUUCGUGCCAGCAGCCGCGGUAAUACGAAGGGUGCAAGCGUUAAUCGGAAUUACUGGGCGUAAAGCGCGCGUAGGUGGUUCAGCAAGUUGGAUGUGAAAUCCCCGGGCUCAACCUGGGAACUGCAUCCAAAACUACUGAGCUAGAGUACGGUAGAGGGUGGUGGAAUUUCCUGUGUAGCGGUGAAAUGCGUAGAUAUAUGAAGGAACACCAGUGGCGAAGGCGACCACCUGCACUGAUACUGACACUGAGGUGCGAAAGCGUGGGGAGCAAACAGGAUUGGAUACCCUGGUAGUCCACGCCGUACACGAUGUCUACUACCCGUUGGGAUCCUUGAGAUCUUAUUGCGCACCUAACACGAUAAGUCACCACCUGGUGAGGACAGCCCGCACGCUAAGAACUCACAUGGAUUUGACUCGCGCCGCGCAGCACAGCAGCAUGUGCUGUAGUUCUAUUCAACACCAAGAACAUUACCUGUCCUUGACAUACUACAGACUGAUCAGAAACGAAUGAUGACUGCUGUAUCUCGGAC
rnacentral:rRNA from 1 species